rnacentral:misc_RNA from 1 species
GAAAGUAUCCCAACUCCACUGUUACUACUUAAUUACUCUGUACAAGUACAUAAUUAUUAGAUCACAGCUUAAUUAAUUAUGCCCUAUUGGCUCAGUUCUAUUGCUGAAGGAAAUAAGGAAUGACGUUGUAACUGUAAGGAGAACACGAGACAGGAGCAUUCAUAUUAUGUUACAACCUUAGAGGCUCCAUUUUCACUUGUACACUUGGUUAGCUGUGAUAGAAAAAUAUAGAACUAUUCUUGGAGUCCUCAAUUACAAGCCUAACCUUUUAGGUUGAGUGGUUCCUUGACAAGCUGCUCCAGGUGGAGCCUGACAUAUAUUUUGUCUAUUCUGUGGGAGCAGACCUGGAAAAAUCUUGCAUUUAGGAUCUUGGACCGAUGGAUUUCAAUAGUGGCCAAAAUAACUUGCACAUCAUUUCUUGAUUCAAUAUAAUUAUUUUCCCUGAGUAAUUGAAUUUGCAAAAGCCAACUCCAGGGUUAUCUGCAUAUUGUAAAGGUAUUACUACGAGCAAAUUUUACAUGAAUGAAUGAAAUCAUUGCAAUAAUACUAGUCUAAUAAUCGGGUGAAAAUUUUGUGCAAGAGGUUUGGGAUUUAAACUUUAGAAACCCCUUUCCUUUUAAGAAAUUUUGAGGCACCGAAGUAAAAAUGACAGCAUCAUAGAUUUGUGUUUAUGUGUAGUACUUGGAGCAUGAUGUAAUUGUGGACACUGGUAACUUAUUCCAAUCCUAUGCUUCGUGUUGUGUCAACACAAUUAUUAUUCGUCCUUCACAACUACAGUCAAUUUCUGGUGGUAAAUAUUUUCAUUACAGGGAAUCUGCCAGAGUAAGGACUAGGGACCAGUCCCAUAAUAAUUGAGCUUGGAAUAGCACAAUAUCUAGUGCCAAUGGAAAGCUCAGCUCUGAGAAUCCUACAAUUGGUUGCAUUCUUCCGUGUGACACUUACAGUUUAAGGACCAAAAAUUGAUUCAAUUAUGCAACUUUGUCAAUUCAAUCUGUUGGCAUUAAUGUGUAUCUGCAAAAUUUCUGCUAUGUGAAGUUUAUGAGGAUAAUUUAGACAGAUAUAUAAGUCAUGGAAAGCACUACAUAUUCAGACCAUCUUCAGGUUUUCCGAUGAAGAAUCUGCUGGAAGGGGAGAAAAAAAGGAAAUUCUUCAUUGGAAAACUUGAAGAUGGAUUCAGAUUGCACGUAAACAAGAACAAGGAGAGAAAAGAAAGAAAGAAAGAACAUGUCAAAAUUGAUUGUUAUCUUCAGGAGGAACGUCAGCCUGAUUGAAUCUCCUAGAAGACACAUGAUUAAAUAAAUUCCUAAGACUGUUCUUACUUUCCUUUCGCCUCCUACGGACCCGAAUUUGAUCAUCCGACCCAAAUAAUGGGUCAUCCAACACUAAUCCUCUCUCCAGUAUUUUGGCCACGGUCACAAUCUCAUAGGAAUCCAGAAGUGAUUGCUUGAAAUCCCAGUUUCCAGUUGCAAUCCUCUUGGUCAAAGACUUGUUCAUUGCUUCUAGCUUGAAUCGAGAGGGCUUGGGAUGGAAAUUUUGGCGGUGGGCAUCAUAUUCAUUGGUAGGCCUAGAGCUGCAAGAGUGAGAAUGCCAUGCCUGAGCCACAGCCUUGAGGAUAUGAAGGUGGUGGUGGUCUUCAUGUUCUGAGUUAUUCAUCAUGUUUCAUGGUUGUCUUCUGUAAGGAAGUAGAGUAGUGGCCAUUUUAUGUGUGGGGCAAACCAGAGCCUCACAUUGGUGGAGGCAAGAAAGAAACGAGAAGAUGCUGGUGUGUCUGUGUCAUAUAUUUUUGUAUUGAUUUUCUUCACUGUGAGCUGCAGAUCAGAUUAAAUGAUGACCGCUCGGGUAAGUUGGUAGCAGGAUAACGUUGGAAUUAUUUGUUUCUCCAAUCCCUGGUUU